UACGUAGGGUGCAAGCGUUUGUCCGGAAUUAUUGGGCGUAAAGAGCUUGUAGGCGGUUUGUCGCGUCUGCUGUGAAAUUUCGGGGCUCAACCCCGAACUUGCAGUGGGUACGGGCAGACUAGAGUGUGGUAGGGGAGACUGGAAUUCCUGGUGUAGCGGUGAAAUGCGCAGAUAUCAGGAGGAACACCGGUGGCGAAGGCGGAUCUCUGGGCCAUUACUGACGCUGAGGAGCGAAAGCGUGGGGAGCGAACAGG
rnacentral:rRNA from 1 species